rnacentral:rRNA from 1 species
UUCUCGCUGGUGCACUCCUCCGGGCUCAGGCCAGCAUCGGUUUCGGGUGGUGGACACUGGCUUGGGGAAGGUGGCGGCUCCGGCCGCGUUAUAGCCCCUCGUCGCGAACGCCGCUUGGGACCGAGGAAACCGGCGAGAGCCUGGGAUGCUGGCGUAAUGGCUUUAAACGA